rnacentral:snRNA from 1 species
GUGCUCACUUUGGCAGUACAUAUACUAAAAUUGAAACAAUAGAAGAUUAGCAUGGCUCCUGCAAACUCAAGAAGUGUUCCAUAUUUUU